ensembl:lncRNA
GUGAUGAGGUACAUUUAAGUACCAGUAGACAUGUAUUUGUUGAUGUGAUUGAUUACUCAAAUACCAUCAUAACUGUGCUUUUCUUCCAUCAUGUGUUGUAGGUUAUUGAUGCAUUUUUGAGCUGUAUAGUUGAGAAAGCAGAUGGAAAGGUACAAGCCAUCUCAUCAGUAGUUUCCACUGCCAUUCUCUCAGGCAGAGCUACACAAAUGAAAGUGAAGAGUGAAUUACUUCAAAAUGAUAUAUUACUGCUUCCUUACCACACACCAGGUCAUUGGGUUCUUGCGAUAGCCUUGAUGAAAAAAAAGGAAUUGUUAAUAAUUGACCCCUUGUGUGAUGAGAUCAGAUAUGAAAGAACAUGCCUGAGGAAUUGGAGGUGAUUUAUUAGAUACUUACUUUCACAGUGGACACUAACUGUUCCAUUGAAAUUGUUUUUAAAGGGAAUGUUACAAUAAUGAGAAUAAUGUCUUCCUAUUAGCUACAAAUAAACAUUGAAACAGCAUAUACUUGUACUGAAUG